rnacentral:rRNA from 1 species
GACGAACGCUGGCGGCGUGCUUAACACAUGCAAGUCGAACGGCAAGGCCCUGCUUUUUUGGGGUUCUCGAGUGGCGAACGGGUGAGUAACACGUGAGUAACCUGCCCUUGACUUUGGGAUAACUUCAGGAAACUGGGGCUACUCCCGUAUAGGAUCUCCUGCUGCAUUGUGGGGGUUGGAUCUUCUCGGCGGUUGGGGAUGGACUCGCGGCUUAUCAGUUUGUUGGUUGGGUAGUUGCUUACCAAGGCUUUGACGGGUAGCCGGCCUGAGAGGGUGACCGGCCACAUUGGGACUGAGAGACGGACCAGACUCCUACGGGAGGCAGCAGUGGGGAAUAUUGCACAAUGGGCGGAAGCCUGAGGAAGAGACGCCGGGGGCGGGAUGACGGCCUUCGGGGUGUAAAACGCUUUCGCCUGUGACGAAGCGUGAGUGACGGUAAUGGGUAAAGAAGCACCGGCUAACUACGUG